GAGUUUGAUCCUGGCUCAGAUUGAACGCUGGCGGUAUGCUUAACACAUGCAAGUCGAACGGUAGCAGGCCUUCGGGCGCUGACGAGUGGCGGACGGGUGAGUAACGCGUAGGAAUCUGCCUCAUAGUGGGGGACAACGUGGGGAAACCCACGCUAAUACCGCAUACGCUCCCUAUUUGAAAGAAUGGGGAGGAAAGCGGGGGCUCUUCGGACCUCGCGCUAUGAGAUGAGCCUGCGUUAGAUUAGCUAGUUGGUAGGGUAAAGGCCUACCAAGGCGACGAUCUAUAGCUGGUCUGAGAGGACGAUCAGCCACACUGGGACUGAGACACGGCCCAGACUCCUACGGGAGGCGGCAGUGGGGAAUAUUGGACAAUGGGCGCAAGCCUGAUCCAGCAAUACCGCGUGUGUGAAGAAGGCCUUAGGGUUGUAAAGCACUUUCAAUUGGGAGGAAAACCUGCCGGUCAAUACCCGGUAGCUUGACAUUACCUUUAGAAGAAGCACCGGCUAACUCCG
rnacentral:rRNA from 1 species